CCUACGGGAGGCAGCAGUGAGGAAUAUUGGUCAAUGGACGAGAGUCUGAACCAGCCAAGUAGCGUGAAGGAUGACUGCCCUAUGGGUUGUAAACUUCUUUUAUAAAGGAAUAAAACGAGGCACGUGUGCCUUUUUGCAUGUACUUUAUGAAUAAGGAUCGGCUAACUCCGUGCCAGCAGCCGCGGUAAUACGGAGGAUCCGAGCGUUAUCCGGAUUGAUUGGGUUUAAAGGGAGCGUAGAGGGGUUGUUAAGUCAGUGGUGACAGUUUGCGGCUCAACCGUAAAAUUGCUAGUGAUACGGGCAUUCUUGAUUACAGUUGCGUUAGGCGGCUUUCGUGGUGUAGCUG
rnacentral:rRNA from 1 species